rnacentral:rRNA from 1 species
AUACGGAGGGGGCAAGCGUUGUUCGGAAUUACUGGGCGUAAAGCGCGCGUAGGCGGGCUGGUUAGUUGGGGGUGAAAUCCCAGGGCUUAACCCUGGAACUGCCUCCAAUACUGCCAGUCUAGAGUUCGAGAGAGGUGAGUGGAAUUCCUAGUGUAGAGGUGAAAUUCGUAGAUAUUAGGAAGAACACCAGUGGCGAAGGCGGCUCACUGGCUCGAUACUGACGCUGAGGUGCGAAAGCGUGGGGAGCAAACAGGAUUAGAAACCCCGGUAGUCC